rnacentral:rRNA from 1 species
GGGUUGUGAGGUUAAGCGACUAAGCGUACACGGUGGAUGCCCUGGCAGUCAGAGGCGAUGAAGGACGUGCUAAUCUGCGAAAAGCGUCGGUAAGGUGAUAUGAACCGUUAUAACCGGCGAUGUCCGAAUGGGGAAACCCAGUGCAAUUCGUUGCACUAUCGUUAACUGAAUACAUAGGUUAACGAGGCGAACCGGGGGAACUGAAACAUCUAAGUACCCCGAGGAAAAGAAAUCAACCGAGAUUCCCCCAGUAGCGGCGAGCGAACGGGGAGCAGCCCAGAGUCUGAAUCAGCUUGUGUGUUAGUGGAACGGUCUGGAAAGUCCGACGGUACAGGGUGAUAGUCCCGUACACCAAAAUGCACAGGCUGUGAACUCGAAGAGUAGGGCGGGACACGUGGUAUCCUGUCUGAAUAUGGGGGGACCAUCCUCCAAGGCUAAAUACUCCUGACUGACCGAUAGUGAACCAGUACCGUGAGGGAAAGGCGAAAAGAACCCCGGCGAGGGGAGUGAAAAAGAACCUGAAACCGUGUACGUACAAGCAGUGGGAGCACCUUCGGGUGUGACUGCGUACCUUUUGUAUAAUGGGUCAGCGACUUAUAUUCUGUAGCAAGGUUAACCGUAUAGGGGAGCCGCAGGGAAACCGAGUCUUAACUGGGCGUUAAGUUGCAGGGUAUAGACCCGAAACCCGGUGAUCUAGCCAUGGGCAGGUUGAAGGUUGGGUAACACUAACUGGAGGACCGAACCGACUAAUGUUGAAAAAUUAGCGGAUGACUUGUGGCUGGGGGUGAAAGGCCAAUCAAACCGGGAGAUAGCUGGUUCUCCCCGAAAGCUAUUUAGGUAGCGCCUCGUGAACUCAUCUUCGGGGGUAGAGCACUGUUUCGGCUAGGGGGUCAUCCCGACUUACCAACCCGAUGCAAACUACGAAUACCGAAGAAUGUUAUCACGGGAGACACACGGCGGGUGCUAACGUCCGUCGUGAAGAGGGAAACAACCCAGACCGCCAGCUAAGGUCCCAAAGUCAUGGUUAAGUGGGAAACGAUGUGGGAAGGCACAGACAGCCAGGAUGUUGGCUUAGAAGCAGCCAUCAUUUAAAGAAAGCGUAAUAGCUCACUGGUCGAGUCGGCCUGCGCGGAAGAUGUAACGGGGCUAAACCAUGCACCGAAGCUGCGGCAGCGACACUAUGUGUUGUUGGGUAGGGGAGCGUUCUGUAAGCCUGCGAAGGUGUGCUGUGAGGCAUGCUGGAGGUAUCAGAAGUGCGAAUGCUGACAUAAGUAACGAUAAAGCGGGUGAAAAGCCCGCUCGCCGGAAGACCAAGGGUUCCUGUCCAACGUUAAUCGGGGCAGGGUGAGUCGACCCCUAAGGCGAGGCCGAAAGGCGUAGUCGAUGGGAAACAGGUUAAUAUUCCUGUACUUGGUGUUACUGCGAAGGGGGGACGGAGAAGGCUAUGUUAGCCGGGCGACGGUUGUCCCGGUUUAAGCAUGUAGGCUGAUUGUCCAGGCAAAUCCGGAUAAUCAAGGCUGAGGUGUGAUGACGAGGCACUACGGUGCUGAAGUAACAAAUGCCCUGCUUCCAGGAAAAGCCUCUAAGCAUCAGGUAACAUUAAAUCGUACCCCAAACCGACACAGGUGGUCAGGUAGAGAAUACCAAGGCGCUUGAGAGAACUCGGGUGAAGGAACUAGGCAAAAUGGUGCCGUAACUUCGGGAGAAGGCACGCUGGUGUGUAGGUGAAGUCCCUGCGGAUGGAGCUGAGACCAGUCGAAGAUACCAGCUGGCUGCAACUGUUUAUUAAAAACACAGCACUGUGCAAACACGAAAGUGGACGUAUACGGUGUGACGCCUGCCCGGUGCCGGAAGGUUAAUUGAUGGGGUUAUCCGUAAGGAGAAGCUCUUGAUCGAAGCCCCGGUAAACGGCGGCCGUAACUAUAACGGUCCUAAGGUAGCGAAAUUCCUUGUCGGGUAAGUUCCGACCUGCACGAAUGGCGUAAUGAUGGCCAGGCUGUCUCCACCCGAGACUCAGUGAAAUUGAACUCGCUGUGAAGAUGCAGUGUACCCGCGGCAAGACGGAAAGACCCCGUGAACCUUUACUAUAGCUUGACACUGAACAUUGAGCCUUGAUGUGUAGGAUAGGUGGGAGGCUUUGAAGCGUGGACGCCAGUCUGCGUGGAGCCAACCUUGAAAUACCACCCUUUAAUGUUUGAUGUUCUAACGUUGGCCCCUGACCGGGGUUGCGGACAGUGUCUGGUGGGUAGUUUGACUGGGGCGGUCUCCUCCCAAAGCGUAACGGAGGAGCACGAAGGUUAGCUAAUCCUGGUCGGACAUCAGGAGGUUAGUGCAAUGGCAUAAGCUAGCUUGACUGCGAGCGUGACGGCGCGAGCAGGUGCGAAAGCAGGUCAUAGUGAUCCGGUGGUUCUGAAUGGAAGGGCCAUCGCUCAACGGAUAAAAGGUACUCCGGGGAUAACAGGCUGAUACCGCCCAAGAGUUCAUAUCGACGGCGGUGUUUGGCACCUCGAUGUCGGCUCAUCACAUCCUGGGGCUGAAGUAGGUCCCAAGGGUAUGGCUGUUCGCCAUUUAAAGUGGUACGCGAGCUGGGUUUAGAACGUCGUGAGACAGUUCGGUCCCUAUCUGCCGUGGGCGCUGGAGAAUUGAGGGGGGCUGCUCCUAGUACGAGAGGACCGGAGUGGACGCAUCACUGGUGUUCGGGUUGUCAUGCCAAUGGCACUGCCCGGUAGCUAAAUGCGGAAGAGAUAAGUGCUGAAAGCAUCUAAGCACGAAACUUGCCCCGAGAUGAGUUCUCCCUGAGACUAUAAGUCUCCUGAAGGAACGUUAAAGACGAUGACGUUGAUAGGCCGGGUGUGUAAGCGCAGCGAUGCGUUGAGCUAACCGGUACUAAUGAACCGUGAGGCUUAACCUUACAACGCCGAAG